AAAUUGCUGUGGCAUACGAAUUCACAUAUAAGUGUUGACCGACUAUUUUCUUGUAUUUUAGGGAAACAAAAGUCUUUUUACAGUAUGUAAGCCGUAUCACGCGGAAACAACUUAGUAAAAGCGAGUUGCCCACCUGCUUAUCUGUGCGGGUUCAAUACAAAACGUGAAUCACCGAUGCCAAUACAGCUUUUUG
rnacentral:other from 1 species